GCCUACGGCCAUACCACCCUGGAGAACGCCCGAUCUCGUCUGAUCUCGGAAGCUAAGCAGGGUCGGGCCCGGUUAGUACUUGGAUGGGAGACCGCCUGGGAAUACCGGGUGCUGUAGGCA
rnacentral:rRNA from 1 species